ACGAACGCUGGCGGCGUGCUUAACACAUGCAAGUCGAACGGUGAAGCGCCUUCCUUUUUGGUGGGUGUGGAUGAGUGGCGAACGGGUGAGUAACACGUGAGUAACCUGCCCCCUUCUUCUGGAUAACCGCAUGAAAGUGUGGCUAAUACGGGCUAUUCUGGGUCUGUCGCAUGAUGGGUCUGGGAAAGAUAUUGUUUCGGUGGGGGAUGGGCUCGCGGCCUAUCAGCUUGUUGGUGGGGUGAUGGCCUACCAAGGCGGUGACGGGUAGCCGGCCUGAGAGGGUGAGCGGUCACACUGGUACUGAGACACGGCCCAGACUCCUACGGGAGGCAGCAGGGGGGAAUAUUGCACAAUGGGCGCAAGCCUGAUGCAGCGACGCCGCGUGAGGGAUGGAGGCCGUCGGGUUGUGAACCUCUUUCGCCAGUGAAGCAGGCCUGCCUCGUUUGUGGGUGGGUUGACGGUAGCUGGAGAAGAAGCGCCGGCUAACUACGUG
rnacentral:rRNA from 1 species